CAUCGACGCCAUUUUGUUGUUUAUUGCAGUUGCAAAUCUCACGUCUCUGCUCUAGUUUCGCUCUGUGUUUCUCCCAUCUGCUGAUUCCUGCACCAUGUAUGCAAGUGCUGCCAGGGUUUACCACCAAGGUCAAGACAAGCUCCACAAGAAAGGAUGCCCCAGGCUGUCUCCCCAACAGUUCUUCCUGUCCCCCGCCCAGUAGGUCCCUUGUAGGGACACAACCUGUUUGUGAUGUAUAUUCGUGGACAUCUAUAACAUCCUUUUUAUCCAGCUUAUAACAAAUCUAUUGGCCUCUUCCUUGAACAAAGUAUUCCACAACAAUAGUUACCAUGGCCAACCAUGUAACAUAUAACUGCCAUUACUUUGUUUGGUUUUUUUUUUGCUGUUAUUUGGUGAAAUCAAAUCAAAACUAAACACUUGCCUUUUCUGUCUCCCCUCCCAGUGCCCCGAUACUGAGUGGAUGAUCCGCAUCAACCCCCUAUCUGUCCUGCCCAACCCCCUGACCCCUGUCCCAGCCCCUACCAGCACUGCCUACAUGGAGAUUAUUCUUGUGGACGAAGAAGCCCUGAGGCAGCCACGAUCAUGUGUCCCGACUGUGUUUUCUUUCCUGAAGAGUCUCUUCACUGUGUGUUAGGUGGACGUUUGAAAUGGCACCUAAUAUCACAGUGGACAUUUGGUGUACUUUCCCCUUUUAGACCUUUCGGACAAACCUUUUGGAUACUUUCAAUUUUGGACAUUUUCGACAGUUAGUGCAUAUACGAAACAAUUAUAGUUUUAAAAUUAUCUAUUAAAUAUGUGGUGAGCUCAAACGUGGUUCAGUUGUUUUAUUCAGUCACCUGUCAUGGAGUGCCUAGAUGAUAUCAUCUUUCAGUAUUUUCCAUAUAAAUUUAUUUUAUUAAAUUUGUCUAAGUUUUGAAA